rnacentral:rRNA from 1 species
GACGUAGGGCGCAAGCGUUGUCCGGAUUUAUUGGGCGUAAAGAGCUCGUAGGCGGCCUGUCGCGUCGACUGUGAAAAACCACGACUCAACCGUGGGACUGCAGUCGAUACGGGCAGGCUAGAGUUCGGUAGGGGAGACUGGAAUUCCUGGUGUAGCGGUGAAAUGCGCAGAUAUCAGGAGGAACACCGGUGGCGAAGGCGAGUCCCUGGACAGGUCCUGACGCUGAGGCACGAAAGCUAGGGGAGCAAACAGG